UCAACCAGGUAACAUCAUUAACAAUGUCGGCAUCACACAAGCAUCCAUAGAUGCUAAAUGUGGCAUGACAGUCAAAUGCAUCAAGCGUGAAACGCUUUCAAGGGGCAAAUAAUCAAACAUCCAUCAAGUCACCCUCUUUGUAUUCCACAUCCGAGAACACGAGCCAAUACCCCACAAGCCAAGCCACCAAAACAUAAAGUUCAGCAACCCGAUUGCAGGCAUUGCUUCAUUCUCCAUCGCAAGCCCAAAAGGACCAUAAGGUGGAGCGGGACACAAAUAAGGAUUCUAGUUCCAUCACGCUAGGUAAGAAAUACAGGGACCACAAAGCCCAAGUCAUAUAUGCACUCGAAGCUUCAAUGAAGACACACGCAUCAACAAUUCCAAGCACAAGCAAGGAGC
rnacentral:misc_RNA from 1 species